rnacentral:rRNA from 1 species
GGCGAACGCUGGCGGCGUGCCUAAUACAUGCAAGUCGAACGAGAGCGACCGGUGCUUGCACUGGUCAAUCUAGUGGCGAACGGGUGAGUAACACGUGGGUAACCUGCCCAUCAGAGGGGGAUAACAUUCGGAAACGGAUGCUAAAACCGCAUAGGUCUUCGAACCGCAUGGUUUGAAGAGGAAAAGAGGCGCAAGCUUCUGCUGAUGGAUGGACCCGCGGUGCAUUAGCUAGUUGGUGAGGUAACGGCUCACCAAGGCCGUGAUGCAUAGCCGACCUGAGAGGGUGAUCGGCCACAUUGGGACUGAGACACGGCCCAAACUCCUACGGGAGGCAGCAGUAGGGAAUCUUCCGCAAUGGACGCAAGUCUGACGGAGCAACGCCGCGUGAGUGAAGAAGGUUUUCGGAUCGUAAAACUCUGUUGUUAGAGAAGAACAAGUGCUAGAGUAACUGUUAGCGCCUUGACGGUAUCUAACCAGAAAGCCACGGCUAACUACGUG